rnacentral:misc_RNA from 1 species
GGCGAUAUUAAAUUUGGGUGGUUAACUGAAGUCAGAAACAACUAUAAAUUGGCUCAGGAACUGAACUCCCUCAUAACACAUACUAUAUGAUAUUCCACUCAAUUUCUUGAAUGUUGCACUUGAUUUCACUUGGGUCAGGUAACUGGGUGGGAAAUUAGCAUUUUUGAAGGCAGCUGCUUGUUGAUAUAUGAUGUGGUUCAGCCUCAGUAGAUAGCA